rnacentral:miRNA from 1 species
CCGUCCGUCCGUCCGUCCGUCUGACCGUCUGUCCGUCUGAGGAAAAGUUUGGUGUCUCUAGUUCUUAUAGACUCUGAGAACUAGCCGACAAACAACACGGACAGACGGUCGGACGGACGGACAGACAGAGAU